UUUUCUUAUUGAAUGCAUUCGAUGAGUCCUAUUCGGCAGGGCGAUGUCGUUCUUGUUGAUGUUAGUAGUGUGAUCAGAUGCGAUAGCUAAUGACCAAUAACUCAUGCGCAUUUAAUGGGCCCUAUCAUUUUUUAAUGGUGGAUUUAGGAGUGUUUUCAGAGAUUGAGAAUGGCUAGUGAUUAAAGUUACCUGCAAGUGAGCAGUGCCUUUGAGAAAUAUGUUACACGUCAUCAAUUGUAAGGUCGUGGAAUACCCCAACAGAUUGAUGGUUGUUCUCUAAAAUAUAACCAUGAGCAAUUAACUUUUGUUCCUUUUAACAGGUCUAUGCAACAUUUAUUUGUCACUUAUUAGAAUAAAAUGGAUGAGAGAAGAUAUUCUCUUUCUUUGUGUUCCAAGUUCAAGCAUUGAAAGCUUGCCAAGCAAGGAGAACCAGUGGUAAAGAAAAGUGAAAGCUUUCUUCAUGAACCAGCUUCAUUGCCGCUGUUCCGAAGAACUAGCUGUUUCCAAGAUCCUGUGAAAGCGUCUAUAACUCUAUAUAUGCCAUUUAGUUUUCUACCUUUGUAACUCUUGCUAAAAUGAUACAAAAGUUGCAAUUUUAAUGUCUUCCUGAAGAGAUCAUUUUAUUAUGAAAACUGUGAGAUCAAAUCAUUUGGGAUAUUGGAUACCUCAUUCAUUGGAAAUCUUUAUAGGCUUUCUGUUUAAAUCAGCAAUGUAGUACUUCAGACAUACAAUUCACUAAUGGGUAAUUCCUAGUGCAUUCAUUCCCUAUGUUGAUGUUGGAUGCAGCCUGAAUAUAUGUGUUUGUUUAUAGAAAUACCAAUGUGUUAGCAAACAUGAAAGUUGUAUAAACUUGAAAAAUAUAAAUAUACAUGCUAAAUGCCUUUCCCCGGUUCAAUGCUUAUGUGAAGUACUCGUUGGAUUGUAUUUGGUGCAAAUAUUUACUAACCAAAUUUUAAAAAAUUCAGCUGUCCAAGUAAUUUUUGGAUCCGAAGGAAUAGAAGGACAGCAGUUAUAUUAUUUCUGUUGAAGAUUGUUGCUUAGGUACUGGGAAUUCAUUGUUGAUGCAAAUGUUAGGUGACAGGAUGCUGAUUAGAAAAUGGAGAGCAAUUUGAUGAUUUUCAUGGAUAUGGCCCUGGGAAAAUUUUGAACCUUGAUUUGGUAACAGUAUUUCUGGUUCAGAAGCAUUCAACUCAGCUAUACCUACUUUCAGUUUGAGGUUUGGUAGUGGCAGCUCUCUUCGUCUUAUUUGCUCCACUGCCCUCACCAGUACAAUAAUUGUUUCAGGUUCAGCAAGAGAAACUGCUACUGUCUCGAGCUCUAUGUUCACCCAUGCCAUUUUCGCAAAUCUUAAGUUUCUAGAAAGAACGCAACUCGAGUUUCGUGGCUCUAUGCAGAGCAUUGGUUUAAAGAUUCAAGGAGAGAUUUGAAUUCUGUUUCUUCAGAGACUUAAUCGAAGGAAACUUGGUCGCCCUUGUUUAUAAUAUUACGAUUCUAUGAAUUUUGCCCUCACAGACAACUUGAGAAAGCGCUGGAUAUUCAUUUCAAAGACAAAUAUAUUUAGAAAUUUUAGCUUUUGUAUGGUUUUAGCUUGACUACACUUCUUUCUGAAGAGAUUAGGAAAUACUCCAGGGUAUGACUGGAUGAAAUUGAUUACUGUAACGAAUGCAAUCACAAUGUUAGCCCUGCUUUUGAUUCUGGGGCUUGUUUGCUGCAAGUGGGCAUUUCUGAAGAACUAUGCUUAAUACCAUGCAUGACAGAUUCUACAAUUGAAUCCCAAUGGCUUCGCCCUUUAUCAUGCAUUUUGCAAUCUAGUUGUGGUGCAGAACAUAAGAAAGAAUUAAAAUCAAUAAUAAACUUGGACAUGUCUGAUUUUCAUUCUGUUUAUUUAUAUGCACACUAAUUUGCAGUCAGGUUCUAGGUUUUGCCUCACGAUAAGGCAUUAGUUCAAAUCCUUACCAUGAUAGGGAACUUGCCAAUGGAUAUUGGUUAUAGGCGGAGUAUUUAGAACGGUGUAUAGUCAGCAAGCUGAAUAAUUAGUAUCCUCAUGGCUUCGGUUUACAAAUGUUGCAAGGUGUAAUUAUGGUGCGAAGAGUUUCAAGAUCGCAAUACACUUGAGUGCAAUUAUGGUGCGAAACAUGUAAGGGAGUUUCAUGAUCGCAAUACACUUGAGCAAGCCAAAUAUUUAGUCUACGAACAAGAAGCACGGGGCUCAUCAUUUUCCCAGCCAACACUGUUGACAUAUUUUGCAGGAGUGGCAUCUAUGUUUAUGCUACUUCUUGGAUGGAUUCACAUCGGGAACAUUAGGUAUGAUAUUUUGGGUUUGGUUGAAGUAAGAGGUUAUUGAAGUCUGAGUUUUGAAUAAUGUGAUGGGUCGGAAUCAGUCUCGUAAAAACCUAUCUAUGUCAGUUGUACAUGAUAAAUUAUAGCUUUCUUGCUAUGAUUAUCUGCAUAAUUCUUCCAAUUUGUGAUUCCAUAAGUACUUAUUUGUUGAUCUUUGCUUUUUAUAAGUAUAUUUAGUGCACAUGUAAGUACUAAUCUGAGAGGAACAUCAAGGAUCUACAAACCAACCAUGGAAAAUUAUGAGGAACAAGUGUUGAUGCAUAUGA